GGGGUUGUAGCUCAGUGGUAGAGCGCUCAUCUAGCACAAGUGAAGCCCUGAGUUCAAUCCUCAGCACCA
rnacentral:tRNA from 1 species